rnacentral:rRNA from 1 species
UACGGAGGGUGCAAGCGUUAUCCGGAAUCAUUGGGUUUAAAGGGUCCGCAGGCGGUUCUAUAAGUCAGUGGUGAAAUCUCUCGGCUCAACCGAGAAACUGCCAUUGAUACUGUAGGACUUGAAUUCGGUCGAAGUGGGCGGAAUAUGACAUGUAGCGGUGAAAUGCUUAGAUAUGUCAUAGAACACCAUAGCGAAGGCAGCUCACUAGGCCUGGAUUGACGCUCAGGGACGAAAGCGUGGGGGAGCAAACAGG